rnacentral:rRNA from 1 species
CUAAUACAUGCAAGUCGAACGCUUCUUUUUCCACCGGAGCUUGCUCCACCGGAAAAAGAGGAGUGGCGAACGGGUGAGUAACACGUGGGUAACCUGCCCAUCAGAAGGGGAUAACACUUGGAAACAGGUGCUAAUACCGUAUAACAAUCGAAACCGCAUGGUUUUGAUUUGAAAGGCGCUUUCGGGUGUCGCUGAUGGAUGGACCCGCGGUGCAUUAGCUAGUUGGUGAGGUAACGGCUCACCAAGGCCACGAUGCAUAGCCGACCUGAGAGGGUGAUCGGCCACAUUGGGACUGAGACACGGCCCAAACUCCUACGGGAGGCAGCAGUAGGGAAUCUUCGGCAAUGGACGAAAGUCUGACCGAGCAACGCCGCGUGAGUGAAGAAGGUUUUCGGAUCGUAAAACUCUGUUGUUAGAGAAGAACAAGGAUGAGAGUAACUGUUCAUCCCUUGACGGUAUCUAACCAGAAAGCCACGGCUAACUACGUGCCAGCAGCCGCGGUAAUACGUAGGUGGCAAGCGUUGUCCGGAUUUAUUGGGCGUAAAGCGAGCGCAGGCGGUUUCUUAAGUCUGAUGUGAAAGCCCCCGGCUCAACCGGGGAGGGUCAUUGGAAACUGGGAGACUUGAGUGCAGAAGAGGAGAGUGGAAUUCCAUGUGUAGCGGUGAAAUGCGUAGAUAUAUGGAGGAACACCAGUGGCGAAGGCGGCUCUCUGGUCUGUAACUGACGCUGAGGCUCGAAAGCGUGGGGAGCAAACAGGAUUAGAUACCCUGGUAGUCCACGCCGUAAACGAUGAGUGCUAAGUGUUGGAGGGUUUCCGCCCUUCAGUGCUGCAGCUAACGCAUUAAGCACUCCGCCUGG